GUUUGUGGUGGGUCUUUGACAGAAAGCACCUGUAACUCAACCCCUAUCAAACGCUACCCAGCUGUUGGGACCAUAGAAGGAAAUAAACAGGACAAACCUGGGCUCGAACUUCCAAAGGAAGCCUGGAAUAUAAAGGAGAAAGAGGCAGAGCUGUUAGAGGGAUGCGCUGCAAAUGGGAAUCGGGGAAGGAAUCCUACAGCCAGGAUAACAGACUAACACGGCUGCUACUCUGAAACCUGGCAUAUAGGAAGCAUGAAGCCUGGGUUGGAGGCAAGACCAGAAAGCAAAUAAGGACAAAAUCUCUACAGAGAUCCCCUGGCAAGAAUCUCCACAUGCUGUUUCAUUGGGGAGUGUAGAAAAGGCUAAGGGGCCUCCCCCUGAGUUUGGCAGGAUCCCCAGGAAACCGUGCAGAUCUCUGGCAUCCAAGAUGGGUUAGGGUCUUUAAAACAAGUUCCCAUGCCUCUGCACCAACCCUGGUUCCUGGUACCCCUUCUGUCUCUUGCUUCCUGGCAGUGCUAUUCCAUUGGAGCCAUGCUACCAAGAAAGUGCCACAGCUGCUUUCAGAGACCCUGGGAAAAGAUAACAGCCAGUUGUUAUAUGAUCUCUUCCAGAGAACCUUCCUAGGAUUGGAGGGGGAUGAUGUGUUCUCUCGCUCUCUGUACUCCUAGCCUGCAAACACCCACUCCAAGGUUCCCAGUCCCUAUCCUCUCCCUUGACCACAGUGGGAAAGCACAGUAUUUGCCCCAUGCUCUCUAUAUGGUGAAAUUGUCUGUGCUGCCUUUGUAUUUAAAAGCGUGCCCAUCCAUGAGAAUGUUAUUCGCCCAAGACUUUUUCUGCUCUCUCUCCUUCCUAUAUGCUCCACAUGCUUCUGAAUGUCCCUGUAAAACAGUAUUGAGCCAGGAGAACAAAAUAUGUUUCUCAUGAUUUAUAAUAGCAUU